rnacentral:rRNA from 1 species
AGUGAACGCUGGCGGUAGGCCUAACACAUGCAAGUCGAACGGCAGCACAGGAGAGCUUGCUCUCUGGGUGGCGAGUGGCGGACGGGUGAGGAAUACAUCGGAAUCUACUCUGUCGUGGGGGAUAACGUAGGGAAACUUACGCUAAUACCGCAUACGACCUACGGGUGAAAGCAGGGGAUCUUCGGGCCUUGCGCGAUUGAAUGAUCCGAUGUCGGAUUAGCUAGUUGGCGGGGUAAAGGCCCACCAAGGCGACGAUCCGUAGCUGGUCUGAGAGGAUGAUCAGCCACACUGGAACUGAGACACGGUCCAGACUCCUACGGGAGGCAGCAGUGGGGAAUAUUGGACAAUGGGCGCAAGCCUGAUCCAGCCAUACCGCGUGGGUGAAGAAGGCCUUCGGGUUGUAAAGCCCUUUUGUUGGGAAAGAAAUCCAGCUGGCUAAUACCCGGUUGGGAUGACGGUACCCAAAGAAUAAGCACCGGCUAACUUCGUGCCAGCAGCCGCAGUAA